CAUUUAUUGUUUCAGUGUUCUGGCCCUACGUUCCUUAUUGGCUGGACCAAAGGACGAGCGAUUUCACAGAGAAAAGUGUUACAUGUCUCCAGAUGGGGCAGAAGGAAUUCAACAAGGCCCUUCAACAUGAAAGUCGAGCUUGACAUCUGUCAAAGGCACUCCUUUACAAAUAGAUACACCGUCCACAGCCUUGACACAAACUCAACUGUGGGAUAGAAAAGGCCAACACAGUCUGUAAAAAACAAUAGAGAGUUUUUUCUUCCGCACGGCCACCUACUUCAUCUGAUUGCCAACUUGAUAAAUCUUCCCAGUCAUUGCGAGAGUUAUAUCGUCUUGUGAUUGAGGGACGGAUUUGCCUUUCCCUUGGACGACCUUGCUUUGCAGUUACUUCACUCGGCGGAAUGGUUGUAGCUUCCAUUUCACUUGGCGGUAUGGUUUUAGCUUCCAUUUCACUCGGCGGUAUGGUUGUAGUUUCCAUUUCACUCG